UUUAACAGAUGUUUACUGUGAGGAUCAUUACAGUCAGCCAUGGGUCUUCCUGGGAAACAGACGUGGACAUGGACACUGUAUGUCCUUUUUUGUGGGAUGUGUGUUGGUCAGCUGGUGCCAGAACCACAUUACAUGGUGGCCUUUCCAGCAGUCCUUGAAGCUGGAGCUGAGACCAAGUUCUGCGUGAGCCUCUUUCAGCCCAAUGAGACUUUAGUCCUGACUGUCACUCUGAGGUCCCAAGAGAGGAACACGACUCUUUGUGAAAAGACUUCCAGCACAGAGUUUCAUGACUGCCUUCAGUGUCAGAUUCCUUCUGUAGAAAAAGAAGACAUUUGGGACAUUGAGGUAGUGGUACGGGGAAACACGUUUUACUCCAGAGAAGUAAGGAAAGUCAUGAUUAACGACUAUAAACCAAAAACCUUCAUCCAAACAGAUAAACCCAUCUACCUCCCUGGACAGACAGUGCAUUUCAGAUUGGUCACACUGGAUUCCCAGCUGAGACCUGCUAAUCAGUUGUACAACCUAAUCGAACUUGAGGAUCCUUACGGAAACAGGAUUGGGCAGUGGCUCAAUGAAACAUCCAACAGCAAAAUAUUGCAGCUUUCUUACUCGUUGAACUCUGAGGCCCGAGAAGGAUCCUACAAACUCAUCACGUCAACAGGUGGAGCUCAAGUAUCUCACUCCUUCAAGGUGGAGAAGUAUGUUUUGCCCAAAUUUGAUGUAACGAUAAAUGUAAAAGAUGAAGUAAGUGUUUCUGAGGAUGAGAUAGAUGCAGACAUCUGUGCAAAGUACACAUAUGGACAGUCUGUGCCAGGAAGUGUUACAGUGAAGGUGUGUCGACCUCUUCAGUACUACAGUGCGUAUGGGCAACCUAGGAAUGCAGAAGAACUCGGGGUAACCGACCCAUGUGACACACAGACAAAGAAGACAGACAAAGCUGGCUGUGCGGCUUUUCAAUUCAAAAUGUCAACUUUCACCAAACUUGACCAAAAGGUAGUGCAAGAUAAAGUUGAAGUCAGUGCCAGUGUAGAAGAAGAGGAUACCGGUGUUUCACAUCAACAAAAGAAGAGCAUAAGGAUUUCGUAUGUUCUUGGAAAACUGUCUUUUGUUGACACGCCCAAGAUUUAUGAACUAGGAUCAAAUUUGGAAGGAAAAGUAAAAGCUGUUCACCACAAUGACACACCCAUUCCUCACAUGCCACUGUACCUGCUUAUUAGAAAAACUUGGUCGACACAUUUGCUGCUGCAAAAUCUUACAACUGACAACGAUGGAUUUGCCAGCUUUUCUAUUAGCACAGACGCAUUCAGUGGAGACGCUACCCUCUAUGUCAGCAAAUCCCCAAGUGUUGGUUAUUCUUCAUAUAGAACAGCCUUCUAUGAGAUGGGGUCUCACACAGUGUCGCUCUCCCAACCUCCUUCUCCUGACACCAAAUCUAUAAGCUCCCUGAAGCUGAAGAAGAGAGAUUCACCACUUUCAUGUGACAAAGAAGAGGACAUACUUAUCAAAUAUUCAUUUGUACAAGAACCACAGGAUUCUGUGGAUAUUAUGUUUCUGGUUUUGUCCAGAGGAGCGAUUGUUUUUCAAGGACGAAAACAGGUCCAAGUGGAAGAUAAAUCAGUAAAUCAGGGGGAGAUGUCCUUUAAGUUGACAGUGUCUCCAGACAUGGCACCAAAUGUCCAGAUUGUGGCAUAUGCAGUCCUCCCCAGCAAGAAUGUGAUUGCUCACAGCGCUGACUUUGAUACCGAGAAAUGUUUCAGCAACAAGGUGUUGCUGGACAUUUCUCCAUUCCCAGCUGUACCAGGAGAGCAAGCCAACAUGAAGGUGACUGCCCAGCCAGAUUCUCUGUGUGGUGUCAGUGCCAUUGACCAGAGUGUUCUCAUCAAGGAAGCGGUCACUCUGGAUGCUGACAAGAUAUUUAAUUUGUUGCCUGUCAAAAAGGUGACAAAUACCCCAUAUAAGAUCUGGGAUCGAGCAGAAUGUUUACAUGUGAGGCCAAAGAGAUAUGCUCUGCCUUAUCCUGAUGAAAAAACAAAAGAUGCCCACACAGUUUUCCAGAACAUUGGACUAAAGAUGGCAACAAAUUUGGCUCUGAAAAUGCCUUCGUGUUUAAAAUUCAAGGGAAGAGAAUAUCAUCAAGGACACAAUGGAAUUGCUGUUGAUUAUGUAACAAGGUCACGUGGCAUGGCUGGACCACCAGUACCAGCUUUGGGCGGGAAUGCUGGACCGUUACCGACAGACAUCACAGUUCGCACCUUUUUCCCUGAAACUUGGAUAUGGGAUCUGGUGGAAGUUGGAGCAUCUGGAACAAAGGACGUACCUCUUACUGUGCCAGACACAAUCACCACCUGGGAAACGGAGACGUUCUGUUUGUCACCUCAGGGUUUUGGUUUGGCUCCUCGUGAAAAACUCACGGUCUUCCAGCCGUUUUUCCUUGAGCUUACCCUUCCCUACUCCAUCAUCCGGGGAGAAAACUUUGAGUUGAAAGCAACUGUCUUCAACUAUCUAAGCAGCUGUAUUAUGGUGAAAAUAAGUCCCGCCCCCUCCUCAGAUUUCACCCUCACCCCCCUCUCUGGUGACCAGUACACCAGCUGUUUAUGUGGAAAUGAGCGCAAAACCCUCAGGUGGAUCAUGGCUCCUACAGCUUUAGGGGUUGUGAAUGUGACCGUGACUGCUGAGGCUAUUCCGUCACACGCUUCUUGUGACAAUGAGAUUGUGAGCGUUCCAGAAAGAGGCCGCAUUGAUGUUGUAACGCGUUCUCUUAUAGUAAAGGCUGAAGGAAUAGAAGUAACAAAGACACACAACUGGCUGCUCUGCCCCAAAGGAAACACUUUGACAGAGGAAACAGAAAUACAACUUCCUGGAAAUGUGAUUGAGGGAUCUGCUCGUGCAACAGUAUCAGUCCUUGGUGACAUUCUCGGCCGUGCCCUGAAGAAUCUGGAUGGACUGCUUCAGAUGCCGUAUGGAUGUGGGGAGCAGAACAUGGCUUUACUAGCUCCAAACAUCUACAUUCUUGAAUAUUUGCAAAAAACCCAACAGCUGACCCCAGCCAUUAAAGAAAAGGCAUCAAACUUCCUAACCAGUGGAUACCAGAGACAGUUGAACUACAAAGACAUUGCAGGUGCAUACAGUACAUUUGGAUCAGGACCCGGAAACACCUGGCUGACUGCUUUUGUCCUGAGGUCUUUUCAUAAAGCUCAGUCUUUCAUCUACAUCGAUGAAACAAAGAUGGAAGCUUCAAAGACUUGGCUGAUAGAAAGGCAAAACAUCACUGGUUGUUUUGUCCAGUCAGGGAAACUGUUUAACAACAGAAUGAAGGGUGGUGUGUCUGAUGAAGUCACACUUAGUGCUUAUAUAACUGCUGCCCUCCUGGAGACGAACAGCUCCGUUAACGAUCCAGUAGUGAGCAGGAGCCUGUCGUGCCUCAGAGAGUUCACCAAUGAUUUCAGCAACACCUACACCACAGCUCUGCUGGCAUAUGUCUUCACGCUGGCAGGAGACAUGGAGACCCGUGCUCACCUUCUCCAGCACCUGGACUCAGUUGCAGUAAAACAAGGAGGUUUCACCUACUGGUCUCAGACUUCAUCAGAAACAUCUGCUUCUCUGUCUGUGGAGAUCAGCUCCUAUGUGCUGAUGGCAAAACUGGCCUUCUCUCAAACUGCUGAAGACCUGGGCUACGCCUCCAGCAUUGUUAGGUGGCUGACGACUCAGCAGAACCAUUAUGGAGGCUUCUCGUCCACGCAGGACACUGUGGUGGCUCUGCAGGCUCUGGCUCUCUACUCCAGUGCUGUGUUCAGUCCCGAAGGCUCAAGCACAGUCACAGUUCAGUCUCCCAGUGGACCGCUGGUGUUUGAUGUGAAUCAGGAGAACAAACUGCUCUACCAGGAAAAGCUGCUGCAGGAUGUGAGCGGAAAAAACAGCCUGAGGGUGGAGGGCACCACGUGUGCCUCAGUGCAGAUUUCAAUUCACUACAACAUCCCACCUCCACCUCCAGUCACCUCUAUGAGGGUGGAGGUUAAACCAGAGUUUGACACCUCCCGCAAACCCAAACUGACCCUGAAGAUCAUGUCCUUGUACAACGGGAAUGAAAUCAGCACCAAUAUGGUGAUCCUAGAUAUCGCCCUGCUUUCAGGAUUUGUUCCAGACCCACAGUCUUUAGAGAACCUCAAACUUUCUCUGCUGGUGGAUCGAGUCGAACACAAAGAUGGUCACGUUGUGGUGUACUUAGAAGGGCUGAAGAAGGAUGUACAGAUCAACCACAGCUUAGAGCUCUUACAGCAGAUCCCAGUAAACAACCUAAAGCCAGCCGUGAUUGCCCUCUAUGACUACUACCAGCCAAGUGACCGGGCUGAGAAGGAAUACACUCUAACAGCUGAAGUCUUAAAUCUCUCAUCGUGAUGAGCAGGUCUGUGACCGCCCAGUGUGACUGUUGUCGAGCACUCUCACGACCAAAUUCAGCCUCCAACUGUCUUCAAGCAGUGUCAGGAAACCCACGACUGCUGUCUGCAACCGACCAAUGAGAAUACACUCAGGGAGCUUGAAGGAUGAAGUAUGGUCGGUCCGAAGCUCAUCGGUGAUUCCAGUUUCUUCCCCGUUAAAUGACUUUACAUUCAGUGACCUUUUUACUUUUGUUGUAUUACAAAGCUGACAUCAGUUUUUGAGUUGGAAUUGUUUCCUUCCCCAUGUAACUGUGUGAUCAUGUGUAAUCUGAGCAUGAGUGACCACGCAAUAAAGCAUACAUGGUUCUUUUACUGCUUCAAAAA